UACGAAGGGGGCUAGCGUUGCUCGGAAUGACUGGCGUAAAGGGCGCGUAGGCGGAUGGCACAGUCAGAUGUGAAAUUCCCGGGCUUAACCGUGGGGCUGCAUUUGAUACGUGUUGUCUUGAGUUCGGAAGAGGGUCGUGGAAUUCCCAGUGUAGAGGUGAAAUUCGUAGAUAUUCGGAAGAACACCAGUGGCGAAGGCGACAUACUGGAUCAUUACUGACGCUGGAAGCACGAAAGCGUGGGGAGCAAACAGG
rnacentral:rRNA from 1 species